CCAAACCCUUGUGUUUCUUCCUGUGUCCACAAGUUCGGUAGCUUACUAUUUUGUGUUUCUUCUCAAGUUGGGAUCUUUUGUGCUACUUCGCAUAUCACCAGUUGAACAGUUGAAGACUUACGUCCUUGUUCCACUGCGGUCUUAAGAUGAGCCAUGCCAAAAGCCUGAGCAGAGAUGUGGCAGAAUGCAUCGAUUUGGAGAGCACCAGACCUCAAUUGGACAGCUUUCCAUAUUUCACUCCGCAGCUCUGACCUCUGUAUGUAGGCUUGUGGGGUCAGACCCUUUGUGGUAAGGAUUUUCACUAGCUGGAGGAGGUUGUUGGAGUAUUUCCAACAGUGACACUGUCACAGAAAGCACAACAUAAGCAUUUACAAAAAGUAUCAAAUGCAUGUGUUCAGCACACACAUUCUUGAUUUGCAGAGUUUAACAGGCUGUGAUUGUUUCCAUUUUUUAACAUUUCCACUUUCAGUCUUUUCCCCCUCACAGAUGGAUCUGCAGGGAGCCAUUCAGGACAAGGAGAGAGGUAUGAAUUCCUCUUCCUCUUUUUUGUCUUCAUCUGCUGGAUGGAUGUUUGUGACAGUGUCAGACUCCGCAGAACAGGAAGUAUCGAUUUUUUUGUUUUCCAUCUGCACUGCAGGUGGUAGUGGGCAGUGGAUUGGCGCCUGAGAUGAUCACUGUUGCAACAGCUGCAUCUUCUUUAUCUUUUUGUUUUACAGAGCAAAUGUGCAUGUUGUCUUAAAUGAAGGAAAGAUGUUGCGCAAAAAUCGAUCCACCCGAAUAGGCAAGGUUUUUAUGCUUGAGAAGGCCAUGUUUGAUGUUUUUGAACUCAACAUUGGCUGAACUUGCGGUGAUGUUGGUGCUUCGAGGGAUCAUUAACCUUGUCCAGAGUGGCAAGUAACUUGCAAUCUCAAUCACCAUUUGCCAUGGAAAGUGACCUGCUCUCCUCACUUAUGUCUGUCACCCACUGCCGUAGGUCUGUGUGUACUUCUUCACAUGGAUCCACACCUUCCAGGUCCUCACCCUCUACGUCUGGGAUGAUGACACUCAUCUGCAAUUUGGGCUUUCAAGUAUUUCUUGCACCUGGUACUCACAAUGGUAAUACUGCGUAGUAGCUCUUUUGCAUUGUCAACAGAUUGUGACUUGAGAAGCUGUGCCAUUGACCUCACAAAGAAAUCUUUAAUGCAGUGUGGUUUUUUUUCUUCAAGCAGUCCCACAAAAGUGAGUACACCCCUCACAUUUUUGUAAAUAUU